AACAUUGUAUACACAUAUGAAUAAAAGAAAUUAAAAAAAAAAACAAACCUGUAUCUCAAAUUAACCCAAGAAGGACCUGACCCACUUCUUUGGAUCCCUGAGGAGAUAAAAGUCAGUGAGCUAAAACGGGCCCUCACUACAGCCCCUGUACUGGCCUUACCCUCCCUGGAAGAACCCUUCCACCUUUUUGUAAAUGUGAAUAAAGGGAUUGCUUUGGGAGUACUGACCCAAAAAACUGAGACCCUAUAGCCUUUUUGUCCAACUUUUUAGAUCCUGUCUAAAGGAUCUUAAUGGCCAGAGUGCACCCAAUCAGUGGCAGCUACAGCCUUCCGGCUGAAGAGAGCAAAAAAAUUACCUUUGGGGGAAGCAAUCAUUAGUACUCGCUCCCCCAAGUUCAGGCAAUCCUGAACCAAAAGGCAGGGAGGUGGAUAACUGACUCUAGGAUCCUAAAGUAUGAGGCUAUCUUUUUUGUUGUUGUUGUUUAUUUAUUUAUUUUUUAAUCAUACCUAGUUAUAUAUGGUAGGAGGCUAUCUUAUUUGAGAAAGAUGACUUAACCUUGACCACAGACAAGGCCCUAAAUCCAGCUGCCUUCUUGUCAGGAAAACAAGAGGGAGAAAUACCAAACCACAAAUGUCUAGAUAUCAUUGAAUACCAGACAAAAGUUAGGCCAGACCUCAGAGACACCCCAUUUCAAACUGGACAUCAUCUCUUUGUAUAUGGUUUUUCUAGAGUGACUGAAGGUAAAAAGCAUAAUGGGUUUUCUGUCAUAGAUGGAGAAGCCCUAACUAUAGUAGAAUCAGGCCAGCUGGCCAACAUGCAAGUUAUUUGCUUUAAAUCAAGCUCUAAAGCACUUCAAAGAUAAAGAAGAGACUAUCUACACUCACUCUAAACAUGCAUUUAGGGUGUCCAUCCCUUUAGAAAAAUCUGGAUGGAGAGAGGCUUAAUAAAUAGUAGAGGUCAGGACCUGGUCCAUGAGGAGCUGAUCCAACAGAUCCUAGAGAAUCUAAAGCUCCCUGAGAAAAUAGCUGUGGGCCAUGUCCCAGGACAUCAAAGGGGAAGGGAUUUUGAGGCUCAAGGAAACUUUAUGGCAGAUGAAAUGGCAGAACAGGUUGCUGUUGGGGACUAGGCACAGACCCUGGACUGAGAAGUUUGCAAAGCUCUCCUAAGAAGAGAUUGCACAGCUCUCACAUUCUUCCCAGCACCUGGUGUUUUCACCUACGUUCCUGCAUUUCCUUUGAAGAAAACAACUUGCUGUGUCCCUAUACUAGCUCCCCGAUGCCAAACUAGAUACAUUACCAGACUGUUCUGAGAUUCCCUGAUGCCAGAUUAAUCAAUAACUAUAGAUAAAUUGUCCUGUGUGCUCUGACGAUUUCCAGACCAGAUGUUUUGUAGUUAAGCUUCAAUAAGCCUGAGGAAAAGAGCCCACCAGAUCCCAUUCCUUUUACCUUAGAUCAAAAGAAUUGCUAACAUAUGUAAGCUUGAUUUUCACUUGAUUCACUCCCUUGUGCUGACCUAUAAAAUAAACCUAAGCUGACCCUGGCUUAGGUCGGGCACUCACGUAUCCUACCAGGAACAUGCCGUCCUCCCGAUCCCAGCUGUGUGUCUUUAUGUCUGUGUGUCUUUGUUUCUCAUUCCCCAUCGCUCCCAGUCAGGUUCAGCAGCUUAGCCAUGCAGGCCCUGGCAAGUGGUGCCUGAACAGGGACCUGACUACAGGGGGACUCGUCGGAUAAGGCGAGGGAACUCUCUCCGAAGGACCAUCCACAAGGAAAACAAGGUGAGUCUUUAAUUCCAACAUCAUGGAAUCAGGAAUCGAAGAAAGCAAAAGACACCCGCUCACACCAAGCCAGCCAGGAGUUGAAACUGGAAUCAUCUGUUCUGUAGUCAGACACAUUAUCUAUUGCACCACUGGCCUUGCUUUGUGGCGGAUGCGUUUUCAUAAGAACUAAGGUGAUUACGCGGCUCCUCCUGGCAAUGCUGCGAUUGGGGCCAACCCUGCGAUGCCGGCAAGUCUCGCUGUGUGGACUCCUGGCCGCUUCUGCACACACCCCAUUAUCCCUAUUUAUUUCUAGGUAUGUUUCUGUCCCGUGUCCCCCCACCCCUGCAAAAAAAGAAACAUGGCUGUAAGAGGCAAAUCCUGCAUCCUCUCUGCCCCAACAUUACCUCUUCAUUCAGAGCUUGCAUUCACUCAACCAAAACUACUGCUCAAGGCACAGGAGAUAAGAACACUCUCAAGAAAAUAAUAUGGUGAUAAAGCACCAAAUAAAUAAAAUAACAUGGAGAUAAAACUUGGAAGAAGAAAAUAAUAAAACAGAGAAAGGGGAUUUGGAAAUGGGAAGUUGUCGCAAGGUGACCUGAUCUGACUUUUUUUUUGUCUUUCCGUAGGGCAUUAAAAAAAAAAAAAAGUGUUUCCCAAAUAUUUCCUAAGCAAGACCACCUUAGGCGUGCUCAGUGUGCUGCUCUUACAAUAGGACCUGUUUCUCAGGGUCUGAUACCUUCAAAGGUACUAACUAAGCUACUUGGCGAACUGCCCCUGGCGAGCUCGAGUGGAAGCGCGGGAUGCGAGCGGGCGGCAGAGAGGCGUCUCGCGUGCGGACAUUGACGCCCCGGAGUCCGGCAGACGGCGGCCACGGUGAGCCUUCCCAGCGCCCCGCAGCCCGGGAGCACGAGGCGCUGAACCCAACAUUGCCGGGAUGCCUUGCUUAGAUUUACACUCGCUCCCGGGAGGCUUUUGGCUUAUACCAAUUUAUUGCUGGAAUUGGACGCUCGCUUAUCUCCUCCCUCGCCCUUCCCCGUGGGUUCUAUUUUCGGGUGUUUACCCUAGCAAAGGGCCUAAGGUGACAGGAUGGUCCUGCUUCUUGAUCUUAGUUUGUGGAGAUGUACCUGAGGAU